rnacentral:rRNA from 1 species
AUUGAACGCUGGCGGCAGGCCUAACACAUGCAAGUCGAACGAGUGGCGGACGGGUGAGUAAUGUCUGGGAAACUGCCUGAUGGUGGGGGAUAACUACUGGAAACGGUAGCUAAUACCGCAUACCAUCAGAUGUUCCCAGCUGGGCUUAGCUAGUAGGUGGGGUAAUGGCUCACCUAGGCGACGAUCCCUAGCUGGUCUGCGAGGAUGACAAGCCACACUGGAACUGAGGCACGGUACAGACGCCGAAGGGAGGCAGCAGUGGGAAAUAUGGCACAAUGGGCGCAAGCCGGAUGCAGCCAUGCCGGGGGUGUGAAGAAGGCCUUCGGGGUGUAAAGCACUUUCAGCGAGGAGGCGUUACUCGCAGAAGAAGCACCGGCUAACUCCGUGCCAGCAGCCGCGGUAAUUC